rnacentral:rRNA from 1 species
ACGGGAGGCAGCAGUGGGGAAUAUUGCACAAUGGGCGCCAGCCUGAUGCAGCGAUGCCGCGUGAGGGAAGAAGGUUUUCGGAUUGUAAACCUCUGUCAUCGGGGACGAUAAUGACUGUACCCGAGAAGGAAGCUCCGGCAAACUACGUGCCAGCAUCCGCGGUAAUACGUAGUGAGCGAGCUUUAUCCGGAAUUACUGGGUGUAAAGGGAGUGUAGGCGGGACUGUAAGUCAGAUGUGAAAUAUGCCGGCUCAACUGGCAGACUGCAUUUGAAACUGCGGUUCUUGAGUGAAGUGGAGGUAAGCGGAAUUCCUAGUGUAGCGGUGAAAUGCGUAGAUAUUAGGAGGAACAUCAGUGGCGAAGGCGGCUUACUGGGCUUUAACUGACGCUGAGGCCCGAAAGCGUGGGGAGCAAACAGGAUUAGAUACCCUGGUA